UCUUAUGGAUGAGCAAAGGAAGUGGUUUCUUUAGAUAGAAUCUACACUUGGUGUAGAAGUUGUGAA
rnacentral:pre_miRNA from 1 species